GAAGAAGAGGAGAAACUAGAUUUGCUUCUCAACUUGUGGUUUCCAUAACUCCUUGUGUUCACCUGAAACAAGCAUGUUAAUAGUUUGAUACUUGCUUCACUUUAGCAUAGGCUGUGAUGUAAUGUCGUGUGACAUGCCAUUAUGGCUGUGUGAUUGAGCAUCUAGCCUUUUUAUCUUCUAAAGCUUUUUUCUUAACAUUGAUAAGGAAAGUUCCUUGUGAUAACAUUUAAGACCA
rnacentral:misc_RNA from 1 species